UUAAAGCCUCAAAAAUCUGGAAAUUGUCCUCAUUUUCACCCAUAAUUCUUUUCUCCUUCUUCUUUCUUCUCUCUCUCUUCACUCUCUCUACGCUGCCCCAGCUCCUCCCACCGCUGCCGGCCGGAUAUCACCGGCGGCGGCGGACCACCUCCAAACACCUCCAAAUUCACACCAUGUAAUCUCCACAACUUCCUCCUUCCAUAUCUCCAAACCAAAUCCUUCAAAAAUUCCUCAAACUCCUUGAAUCUUAGAUCUAGGAAACUUUCCCGUCACUUUUUUGCCUAAAUUCUUGAAGCUCCAACCACUACCACCCCACAAUACUUACAUCAAUGGAUAGAGCUCCUCAAGACCUAGCUAUUGAUGUCAAUUUCACCAUGAAAAUCCGGCGAUCAAAAUACGGCCAAAUUCCGGCGACCUCCCCGAACACCCACUUUUGAUAUACCACCAUUUUUUCGGCCACUUGAAUUAUAAAAUAGUAAAAAUUCUAUUAUUUUUCGUGGCUGAUUUUUUAUUUUAUUUUUAUUUUUUCAGAUCUUAUUUUUGUCUAUUAUUAAUUAUUUUAGCAUUAGUUUUUGAAGUUUGAAAUGUCAAAUUUUCUAUUUUUUGCACUUGUUGAAGUAGUAAAAUAGUUUUGUGUUGAUAAAAGUGAGGUAGUGAAAAAAACUUAAGAGUAUAUGGUACUUGUUUGAUUGUUUAUUUAUUACUUCAAGACUCUUUGAGUACAACACUCAAAAGUCAAAUUGUUUGGUAAGAAAAUGUAGACCUUUGGACAGUAUUUGAAUAAAAGUCUGUCUUUGAAUAGUGAAGAACAGAUUUUGUUUGAAAUACUUGACAAGAUUUGAACCAGAAAGUCUGGCAUUUUGAAUUUAAGAGCAGAUUUUGUAGAAAAAUCUGUCAAAAAAGAUUUAUUUUUAAUUUUUUUAAAUAGCUGAUUGUUUUGAUAUAAAAUGAGGACACUCCAUCUUACUGAGGGAGCGCUAGACACACAAAAAAGAGAAAAAAUCAGUAGCUAUAAUAUCCCUUAGCAGCUUUUGUGAGUUGAUUCUUAAGUGAAAAACUUGUUUAAGGAAAAUAGAGUAGUCUUGAAAGAUUUUUCUGGAGUUACAUAAUUGUAUUGUUUUGCUGGGGUAUUUCUAGUUUAUUUUCUUGGGUUUGAAUCUGCCGGUUGUCGCUGUCUUUUGCUGUUGUUGAUGCCCGUUUAAUUGUUUUGCUGUUGAUUUUGGAAAGAGCUGACUCUGCUGUAUUUGUUCUUCUUUCUGAUGUCCAGGUAAUUUUCGGACCAUGUAAACUCAUAAAUCGAGUUGGAAUGAAAGAUAAUGACGCUGGGAAAUAUUAGUAGCUUUAUCCUUCUAUAGUAAUUCAUUUUUAUAUGCUAUUGAAUGUUUGAUAAUGUUAUAACGAUAUGUUAGUUAAUUAAAUUGUGUUAAGCAUCUUUAAUUAUUUUUAUUUUUGCAAAGCAUUAGAUAUAAUUUCACUGGCAUUUGGUUGUCUGAAAGGAGUAUAUAUAUUAAAAUUUGAACCCUUGUAGCCAUGUUUGUCCCUUUGUUGUCACCAAGCUAAGUUUUUAUUAUUAUUAUUAUUAUUGUUGUUGUUGUUGUUGUUGUUGUUGUUGUUGUUGUUGUUG
rnacentral:lncRNA from 1 species